AAUGAACGUUGGCGGCAUGGAUUAGGCAUGCAAGUCGAGCGAGAAGUGUAGCAAUACACGGAAAGCGGCGGAAGGGGGAGUAAUACGUGGGAAUCUGCCCUUAGACCUGGGAUAGCAGCGGGAAACUGCUGGUAAUACCAGAUAAUGUCUAUGGACCAAAGGUGUGAUUCCGUCUAGGGAUGAGCCCACGUCCUAUUAGCUAGUUGGUAGGGUAAUGGCCCACCAAGGCGAUGAUGGGUAGCGGGUGUGAGAGCAUGACCCGCCUCACUGGGACUGAGACACUGCCCAGACACCUACGGGUGGCUGCAGCCGAGAAUCUUCGGCAAUGGGCGCAAGCCUGACCGAGCGAUGCCGCGUGCGGGAUGAAGGCCUUCGGGUUGUAAACCGCUGUCGAGGGGGAGCAACUUCCAUAGAGUUAUCUUUAUGGAUUGAGUGAUCCCUGGAGGAAGGACGGGCUAAGUUCGUGCCAGCCGCCGCAGUAAUAC
rnacentral:rRNA from 1 species